AAUAGAUACCCAGGUAGUCCACGCUGUAAACGAUGGAUGCUAGGUGUAGGGAGGUAUCGACCCCUUCUGUGCCGGAAUCAACACAAUAAGCAUCCCGCCUGGGGAGUACGGCCGCAAGGUUGAAACUCAAAGGAAUUGACGGGGGCCCGCACAAGCAGCGGAGCAUGUGGUUUAAUUCGAAGCAACGCGAAGAACCUUACCAGGUCUUGACAUCGACGGAAGCAUCAGAGAUGAUGUGUGCCCUUCGGGGACCGGAAGACAGGUGGUGCAUGGUUGUCGUCAGCUCGUGUCGUGAGAUGUUGGGUUAAGUCCCGCAACGAGCGCAACCCUUGUUGUCAGUUACUAACGCGUAAUGGCGAGGACUCUGACGAGACUGCCGGGGACAACUCGGAGGAAGGUGGGGACGACGUCAAAUCAUCCUGCCCCUUAUGACCUGGGCUACACACGUGCUACAAUGGCCACUACAAAGAGGAGCGAGGUCGCAAGACGGAGCGGAUCUGGAAAAAGUGGUCUCAGUUCAGAUC
rnacentral:rRNA from 1 species